GACGAACGCUGGCGGCGCGCUUAAUACAUGCAAGUCGAGCGAGAACCAGAGCUUCGGCUCUGGGGACAGCCGCGAACGGGUGAGUAACACGUGAGUAAUCUGCCCUCGGCACCGGGAUAGCCCGGGGAAACCCGGAUUAAUACCGGAUGGCCUCUCGAGCUUUCGGGCUCGUGAGAAAAGGUAGCUUCGGCCUCCGGCCGAGGAGGAGCUCGCGGCGGAUUAGCUUGUUGGUGGGGUAACGGCUCACCAAGGCGACGAUCCGUAGCUGGUCUGAGAGGACGAUCAGCCACACUGGGACUGAGACACGGCCCAGACUCCUACGGGAGGCAGCAGUAGGGAAUCUUGCGCAAUGGGCGAAAGCCUGACGCAGCGACGCCGCGUGCGGGAAGAAGGCCUUCGGGUUGUAAACCGCUUUCAGGAGGGACGAAGCCACUCGGGUUAAUAGCCCAGAGGGUGACGGUACCUCCAGAAGAAGCCCCGGCUAACUACGUGCCAGCCGCCGCAGUAACAC
rnacentral:rRNA from 1 species